rnacentral:rRNA from 1 species
CAGCCCAGAGUCUUAAUCAAUAGCAGCAUCAGGAGAACGGUCUGGAAAGUCCGGCAGUAAAGGGUGAUAGCCCCGUAUCCGAAGAUGCUGUUAUUGUGAACUCGACGAGUAGGGCGGGGACACGUGUUAUCCUGUCUGAAUAUGGGGGGGACCAUCCUCCAAGGCUAAAUACUCCUGAUUGACCGAUAGUGAACCAGUACCGUGAGGGAAAGGCGAAAAGAACCCCGGCGAGGGGAGUGAAAAAGAACCUGAAACCGUGUACGUACAAGCAGUAGGAGCCUCUUUAUGGGGUGACUGCGUACCUUUUGUAUAAUGGGUCAGCGACUUAUAUUCUGUAG